UGAGUAACACGUAUCCAACCUGCCGUCUACUCUUGGCCAGCCUUCUGAAAGGAAGAUUAAUCCAGGAUGGCAUCAUGAGUUCACAUGUCCGCAUGAUUAAAGUAUUUUCCGGUAGACGAUGGGGAUGCGUUCCAUUAGAUAGUAGGCGGGGUAACGGCCCACCUAGUCAACGAUGGAUAGGGGUUCUGAGAGGAAGGUCCCCCACAUUGGAACUGAGACACGGUCCAA
rnacentral:rRNA from 1 species